rnacentral:lncRNA from 1 species
UGGAGCUAUUUCUGCUGUCAAGAUUUGCUCUGAUGGGAUAUGGGUAUAACUGUCCCUCCGACCUGAGACCACCAUGGUGACUUGCAAGCAACUCACUGCACUUAGGCAUUGGACUACCUGAAUUUCUAAUUCAGUGAUGGAAGGAUGCUGGGUGUAGUCAAGUACUUGACUUGUCGAUGCAUAUGUCAAGAUGGGAUUGA